AUGUAUGUGUCUCAUGAAUAAAUAAAUAAAAUCUUAAAAAAAAAACAACCUAUAGAGAGAAAUGCAAAAGAGAAUUUUCUAUUAUGACCUUGACAUUUCAUACUAUUCCCACUAUCCUGCAUACUUAAAUACAUAUUCACAGUGUGUUCACCAGUAUAAUGGCCCUCAGUAAAAACAGAGUAAAUAAAACUACCUUAUCAUCUGCUUUGUAUGCCUAGUAGGCCAUACAAAUUUAAUUGCUGAUAUAAGCUAUAAAAUUUCAGUACAGUCAACAGAGGUUUGAUGGGUAAUGUACCUAUAAGGAAGACUCAAGAAACCACAAGUCUGCUCCUACCUUUAUUCUCUCCCUAUCAAAGAUUAAAUUACAUAAGUACAUAAUUCAUAAUGUAUUCACAGAUAUGAGCAUAUUAAUCUUCAACAGAGACAAAGUAAAAGUUAUUACUUAAUCCUCUCUGCUUAUAUGAUUUUAAAAAGCCAGUUUAGCUUGUGAUAAAAGGCAAUAAAAUUUCAGAGGUAAGCAAUAGAAUGGAAAGAGUCUAAAUGAAGGAACCCAUAACUUUGGCUUUAUUCCCAAUUCCUAUAAACAGGUUGCUAAGUGACCCUGGAAGAUCCAAUGAACUCUUCUGUAACUUACUUGCAAAGACUAUGAAACAAAGGAGAAUGUGACACCUGUUGUGCCUUUCCAACAGCUUGUCUGAAGAGGGCUGGGAUUUUCAGGACUAGAAGAAGAUCUCAAAGAGCAAUGACUCCCCUCUCCAAUAAGUAGUAUUGUGAAAUGGCCACCCCAUCAAAAGUGGCUUCCUCCCACUGUGUGAGAGCUCCAGGAAAAAAAACAAUUUAAAGAAAAAAAUGUGUAUCGACUCCCAGUUUUCUAUUAAAUAGGGAGCUAGAUUAGACCAACCCUCCUGUACACUUUCUUCAAGCUCUAAUAUUCUUCAACUCUGACUCUGAUUCACCCAUAAAAUAUUUGAUUCUCAUAUAUAACAUGUAAUUUCCAGAAUUUAUCAUGUAUCUUAAGAUCUAGGCAGAAAGUAUUUAUGUACAGAGAAUCAUUUCAUAGUGUUUCAUAAUUUUUGACCCAAAUAUCUAUUAGUUUAUGACUCAAUAAGCUUUGUGCAUUAUUAGACUGUCCUUGUCUCAUUACAGAGAUCUAAAUGAAUAGUCACCCUUAGAACUUUAGCACUGAGUGUUCCAGACAGCUGUUUUCUAGUUUUAUAACACUUCAGUUUUAUUUUAAUUUAGUUGAAUGUAUACAACAGUUGUUAUUUACUAUUGAGGAAAGGUGCCUGGCAGUCUUUGAAGUGUCAAGUGUAGAAGACUUAAACUUUACUGUGGUGGUUCUAGGAUGCAUCUGCAUAUUAUUUGAUAUGCCUCCUUUAAGAGGUAGGGUCUAAUUCCCCUCCUCUGUGAGUGUGGACUGGACUUAGCGACUUGCUUCUAACAUAGAAAAGUGGAAUUGAUGGUAUAUGACUUCUGAGACAAGAUCAUAAAAGGCGCUGCAGCUUCCUCUUCAUUGACUCUCUCUGGGACCACUUGCCUUGGGGCAAGCCAGAAGCCAUGUCACCAGGACACUCAGGAGUCUGUGGAGAUGCCCAUGGGGAUUCCUUCCUCACCUCUGCAGAGGACUGGAGACCAAUCCAUUCCCUGGAGAAAUUGAACCAGACAGGCCUUGAACUCUGGAACAUUAGCAUAGCUUAAAGUAGGGGGUGAGCCACCACACACUGAAAAAGGGAACACCACUGUGGGUAGACAGAGGCCCCUGGCCAACUGCAGGUAGAACUGCUUCUUGUGGUUGGAGCUGUGGACUGAGCAAGCUCUUCACAAACGUCAAGGAACAGAUAUCACCUUCUUCUCCUCUUUCCUGUUCCCCGCCUACUACCUGUCAGCCAACAGCCCCAACAGCCGCAGCAGCCCCAGAGUGAACGCCCCCAGGACCUGAGGCUGCAACGAAGGAUAAGCCUCCCUCUCUGCCAUCUGCUCACUUGGUGAGGGGGAGGGAAUAGAAAGAACUGAGCAUUACUCACAUCCUCAUUGCCACAAUCUUUAGCUUGUCCCACAUUUGAGAGCAGUCCCCCAUAGGAAAUAAAAACUGAUAUGGAACAAACGUGUCUUCCCAAUCACCACAAAGGCAGUCUGCCAAGGUGAAUGUGAUGCAUGCCCCUCCCAAGGUGGGAUGGAAAGAACCUCCUGAAGUUUCCCGACACACGGGACUAGGGUGGCUAUGUCGCCCUCUUAUUUGUGUAGGCUGUACCUGAUUUUUGGACAGUGUUAUGGUCCUGCUAAUCUUUUACACAGAAACGAGUAACUGGUCUCCUGAGCUCUGACCUGUUAGGUUUCUGUCGCCCUCUGUUUUUGCCUUUGUCCUGCUCUAGUUCAUAUGUUGAAACCCUGCUUCGGAAGGUGAGGGUGUCGGGAGGUAGGGCCUUUUGGGGAGAUGACUGGGAUUAAGUGAGGUCCUGAGUGUGAAGCCCUUGUGAAUAGGAACAGUGCCCUCAUACAGCUCAGGAGAGAACUUGCUUCCUCUGCUGGCUCUGCCGUGGGAGGACACUGUGAGAAGGCAGCCAUGGGCAACCAGAAAAGGACUCUCCAGAGCCACGCUGGCACCCUAAUCUUACACUUCCAGUCUCUGGAACUCUGAGAAAUAAAUGUUUAUUGUUUAUGUGCCACCUAGUAGAUGAUAUUCUGUGAUAGCAGCCUGGACCAGACAUUGUUAGACAUGGUGAUUGGAUAAGACUGGAGACUGGGCUCAGGACUCUCGGUAGUACUGUGGCCUCAUGACACAGAUCUCCAAAAAUGGAACAAAGAAAUAAAAAUUUAAAUCUGGACAGCCUACAGGACCAUUAAUUCAGGACAUGAGUAUUUUAAAAUACAUAUAUACCUUUUCUGAUAUACAUUAUUACUUUUGAAGUAAGACUGAUGAUUAUAUGGAGACAUACAAAAGCAACAGGAAAAUAAGCAAAAAAACCCCAAAUAAAUGCCAAAGAAUAUCAAUUAUAUAUUUGCAAACAUUGUACCAUAACAAAUAAGGACUGUAAAGAGCUAUUUAUUUUCUAGCUCAAAUAUAUUCCAAAGAAGUGAGUCUGCCAUCUGCCAGAGAAUUGAGGAACAUUGGAGGUUGAUGACGAUAUACUUCUGGGUCUCCUUUAGAAACCCCACUGCAUUUCCCUCAUAAUGUACUUUUUAGUGGCAGUUCAAAGAACAAGUUAUGGGAUCCCUGGAUGGCUCGGCAGUUUAGUGCUGCCUUCA